rnacentral:rRNA from 1 species
AUGACAAAUCCUCACGAAGAAGCUAAAACGCAGCAAAAUACUGACGAAGACCCUGCUGAAGAGCAUGCAAUCCAGCAAGCUCCUGUCAAAGCAAAAAGGCAAAAGCAAAAGGACAAUGCUGAAAACAUCAUCGACACUAGUACAUUGCAGCAUCAGCCAUUACCUCUAAUGGUACUCCCACCAACAGCACCAACCGCCAUGAAGAAACAAGGUGAAUGCAAGAAGAAAAACAAACGACAAAGGGUAGAAAAAGAACAAGACGAUACCAACAGCAAAGGUUCAGAUACCAAUGAUGACGACGAUGACAGGGAACAUGGUGCAGAUUUCAUUCCUAUAGACGGCGAUGAUGCCGAAGAGCAUGACAGCGACGCAGAACAUGACGACGAUAACAAAUCAGGACAGAAGGACAGAAAGAGGAGAAAGACAAGCGGAAAAGAAUUGGUAGCACCAACAGUUGACGAAGAACAGCAAGAAACAAACGAAGAGAAAUGCCAAAUCAAGGCAGGGGCAGCAUUCGCUCAUGUCAAGAAAGCAUGGAAUUUACUUAAAGACCGUCACAAGCAAGAUAUUAGGACGGCAGGAUUUGGCAGCAUAGAGAACUGCAAAAUAACGGGCUCCAUCUGCAGACCACUUGCAACACACAUCUACGACAACCUGGACACAGAAAGCAUGACAAUCACCUUCGGUGAUGGUACCGAAGACAAGAAAAUCAAGAUUACCAAGGAAGCUAUACACAAGGUGUUUGGAUACCCAAACGGCACGGAAAACGCCGCUAUCUUCGCCCGACAAGCUAUAAUGGUAGAGGACAUGGACUAUCCAGAGAUGGCAAAGAUGGAUUUCUACGAGGUAAUCGUCGAAUGUAUUAAGGAAGGAGCCAAGAUAUGGCAGAAACACGAAAAUUUGCCUCAGGAAGAAAAGAACAAAAAGCAUGUCAAUGGUUUGGCACAGGGGCCAGUAAUCAUGUACCUCGACUCCCUACUGCUGCCAACCGACACAAAAGAAAUGCGGAAGAUUGCAAAGACAAUGGACAAGACCUCAUUACCACGAGCAAACCAUCUCAAAGAGAGUGACCUAGCGAAAAUAGCUAGAGCAGACAUGAAAAGGGACGGAAAAGCACGACCAGAUGACUAUGAAUAUGGCAAAAUACAGCAGUAG